GCCACUCGCGUCCGAGGAAGACACAGAAGACAGGGAUCCAGCGGGGCAGCGCCGCGGGUCUUUCCCGGGGAUGAACCUGUGAGAGUGGGAGAUCUCCGGAGAACAUCUACGCUGUGUGCCGAUGCACCUUACGAAAGAAUAAGACCAGCAAGCAAGGCAACUGCAAUGAAGCAUCAAGAAAGACAUGAGCAGGCCAGCCAACCUGAGACUGAUAAUUCAUGAGAAGACAUUUCUAUCAAAGUGGAUGGUGAGCAAAGAUGGUGGCCACGUUUUGGAGCAGCACCUGGGUUUUGCAGAUGGCUAUGUAUUCUUUGGCUGCUUGUCUUUUUCCCCAUUAUGUUUCUGUUGCCUAAAGAUUCUUUGUGAGGAUGAAUCCAGAGGACACAACAUAAUGCACUGCAAAACGUCCUAAGACAGGAGAAAUGGUGAAGAUGCACUGUUCCAGCAUUGGAAGUCUGUAUUUUUAAGUGUUAUACAUGCAAUGUUUU